GACGAACGCUGGCGGCGUGCUUAACACAUGCAAGUCGAACGGAAAGGCCCUGCUUUUGUGGGGUGCUCGAGUGGCGAACGGGUGAGUAACACGUGAGUAACCUGCCCUUGACUUUGGGAUAACUUCAGGAAACUGGGGCUAAUACCGGAUAGGAGCUCCUGCUGCAUGGUGGAGGUUGGAAAGUUUCGGCGGUUGGGGAUGGACUCGCGGCUUAUCAGCUUGUUGGUGGGGUAGUGGCUUACCAAGGCUUUGACGGGUAGCCGGCCUGAGAGGGUGACCGGCCACAUUGGGACUGAGAUACGGCCCAGACUCCUACGGGAGGCAGCAGUGGGGAAUAUUGCACAAUGGGCGGAAGCCUGAUGCAGCAACGCCGCGUGCGGGAUGACGGCCUUCGGGUUGUAAACCGCUUUCGCCUGUGACGAAGCGUGAGUGACGGUAAUGGGUAAAGAAGCACCGGCUAACUACGU
rnacentral:rRNA from 1 species